GUCUGACGUCACGGACGGCGCGCAAUAUCCUGAAAAAGAAGCGGUCGUCUUCGGUUUGCACCCGAAUUUUCAAGGAAAUUCCUCCGUAUAUUCGUGACACCAGCCGAGAAGCCAUUGAAGAAGACCAGGCUGAAUAUGUGAUGAAGAUUUUUGUCUCACAUGGAAUUGAAGGAUCAUAUCACUAUUGUGGUUGAGGGAACCCAGCUGAAAUCCAACAUCUGGCUUGCCUGAUUUAAAAGAAGCAUUGCCCCAAACAGGACUGAACUGUGAAAGGGAGUCAGAUAUGGAGUGCCAUGUCUGUUCUUGUUUUGUAUUAAAAAGACCAACAGCUGGAAAAUGAUUUUGCAGUAAUGAAUGUCAUCCUGAAGAGGUCAGUAGAGAUGCACACAAACAUGAUGUGUCUGUAUUUACUAAAUGAGACUUUUUAUGAGGAAACAGUGUUUAUUGAGAACAGGGUAAGAUACUGCAUUAUGUGACUUAGCUGCACAGCAAAUAAAUCAUACUGCAUACACUGUAGGCAGAGCUAUUGAACACAUGAGAAGCAGCACCAGUAUUAAAGGUUUAUCAAACUCUGCAGAGCCCUUAUGCUUCUCCUUUUGUAAACACACAUUUAAAACACUGCAGCUGGAGUCAGGAGAAACAUUUGUAGGUUAUAUUAGUGCUGAUUCUUGGUUAAGCUGCCUCUGAAAUGUACAUCUUCCUAAAUGCGAUAGAGUUGUGCCAUGAAGCUGCUCUGGUAAUACAAAGGCUCAUUUUGUCAUUCUGUAAAACUGCACCCCUUAAUGCAAACAAUAGGAUGACUGAUAAGGUUACUGAAUUUCACUUCGGAAAUCAGAAUCAGGAGGAAAAGAUUGUCUUUCAAAGAAAAAUAAGAAGUUAAAAAAGUUACAAAUGUUGAGAGGAAUACUUAAGAUGUCACAUUUGUGAAGCUGCAUUGUUUGAUUCAAUGCAUGUUAAAUUAUUGUAUCCAUUUAAAGACAGCUUUUACACACAGUUUGAAUAUAUAAUACUCUUUGAUGAAAUAAUUUUAAAAGUAUUUUAACAGAAAUGGCAUUCAGUGUGGAAAUAUAAAGAUAUACACCAAUCAGCCACAACAUUCUGACCACUGACAAGUGAAGUGAAUAGGAUCGAUUAUGCUGUUAUAAUGCAACGUUCUGCUGGGAAACCUUGAGUCUUGACAUUCAUGUGGAUGUUUAACAUGUACCACCCACCUAAACACUGCAGUCCUUGAUGCCAGUUGCCACCUUAAGCAGGACAAUGCAUCCCAACACAGCAAAAACUGCUCAUUAGUGGCCUGGGGACCAUGACAGAGCUAAGGUGGAUUCCCCAGAUCUAAAUCUUAUUGAGCAUAUGUGGGAUGUGCCAGGAUAAGGCUGAUCUAGUUUGAUCCCAUAGAUUUCACUGCUACCAUCUUGGUGCCACAGGACAUCCCCAGAGGACCUGUGUCCAUGUCCCACUGGAUCAGAGGAGUUCUAGAAGCAUAAAGGGGACCAACACAAUAUUAGGCAGGUAGUCAUAAUGUUAUGCUUGGUCUGUGUAUGCCAGUAACAUGUCGAUUUUUCAUUUUUGUAGAGGUCUUCGAAAAUCGGUAUCAUAAGUCCUUUUCACCACUACCUGGCCUGGAGAGGUUGUAGAUACUCAUGUCCUUGUGUGAUCCCUCACAAAAUCCCCCAACUCACUGCAGACCAGGGAGGCUGUGUACUGGUUGGACUUGAGUUUGGAGUAAUAGUCCGAGAACUUGUUGAAGAGGAUGGAAAUGGGCAGACCGUUGAGGAUAAUUCCAAAGGCGAUGCAGAUGAAAGCGAAGAUGCGACCCAGCAUGGUUUCUGGGUAGACAUCUCCAUAGCCCACGGUGGAGAUGCUGACCUGCAGGGUGGUGAGGAGAGCAGUCAGUGCUAAUGGACAAACAUGGAUCAGUGUCCUGGUUAGCUGGCUUUACAGUGACCUGUAUCAUCAUUUGUCUAAAGACUUGACUGGUACUGCAAAGUAGUGAGGAAGACAGAGGAAGUCUUGAUUUAAACUGGAAUCACUGCAAAUACACUAUGUGUCUAACAGAACUAAAGCUUAAUUUGAGAUCUAAAUCAGGGGAGUGUUUCAUUGAAGGUAAAUAAUGUGGAAAUCAUAAGAAUAAUAUUAGCAGAACUGUCUGCAAAGCCUGGACUCCUCUCCUGACUUUAAUGACCCCAACUCUUUUGAAGAUUUGUCUUUGUUUGCCUUGUAAAUAUUUCAAUAUGGUGUCUUUUAUAAGUUAGCUAGAGGACAUAUGAGUGAAAUAAGCAGUCAUUGCCUUUCUGAGCAUUUCCCCCUACCGAUGACAGUCUCAAAAAAUUAAUACAAGCAACUAAUCGUGUGUGACUUCCUGUAUUAUUAGUCUUCAUCAGACCUGGCUGCGGUUCUAACAUUUGUGGCUGAAUUACUUCAAUAUUACAACUUGCCACAGUGUAACUUAGAGUGUUAGUGCAGUUGCAGUUCAGAAAUUAUUUCUAUGCAAAUGCCAUUUACGCAUUAAACUCAGAACACAGUAAAUAAUUCUAGGGUUUAAUGGGUUUGAUUGGAUGGUUUUAUGAUUUUUUAUGAAUGCUUUUAUAUUGAUGGUCUUCGAUGUUUUUUUUGUUUUUUAUUUGUUUUUGUUAUUUAUUUUAUUUAUUAUGCACUAUAAGGACUGCACUUUCAAUUCCGUUGUUUCAUACAAUGACAAUAAAGACAUUUUGAGUCUAAUUCUGAUUGUAGGUGAGCUGGUGUGCUCAAGCUGCAGUGAUUGAUUAAAGGGUAGGGAACUAUGAAGGGAUUCAGUUCAUGGGGGGCAAACAUCUUCUAAAUAUGUCAUUUUGAUCUCCAGAAUUUUUAUGGAUUUCAUCAGCGAUCACAGACUUUUACCAGGAUAUUAUACAGGAUUGCUCUUUAAAAACAGUAUCUACAUUAUGCUGAAUGUUCUGCAACCUAACAGAAAACAUAUUUCUUUCAGUCUUAUUACAGUCAUAGAUCUCUUUUGUAGGACAAUGGGGACAUGUCAAGGCUUCCAUACCGCUCUCUAAGUUCUGCUAAGUGUAGAUAUUAGCAAUGAAAAAUGAAAUGGCAUGGAAGUGACUGGUUAUAUUCAUCACAGACAGAAAUUGCACUGAGACUGUUUUGUAUAGGCCACAUAUUAGAGCCAAUUCUUCCUCUAAAUGAUUAGGUUUCUGUACUGAAUAAUAUAUUCUGUGGCCUUUUUCUAAUGAGUUUCAUAUCAGAAGACGCACAUACUCUAUUUAAAUAUUACAUGUUGCUUGUUAUGGCAGAACUGUAGAGCCAGUCAUCAGUGCAGAGGUCAUUAACCUUGUACUGUAGUCUUUGCAGUGCUGGUUCAGUUUCCUGUUCAGGUUUCCUGCUGAUAGAAGCACAGCUGGGUUCUGUUAUGAGAAUUUAUUCAGGCAGGAUCUGACUUUUAGUAAGAGGCCCUGUGGCCAUAGUGUGAUAAAACUGUAGUCAGGAUAUCCCUCAUCUAUGGCUUUGUUUUCCAAAAUGUUUUGCAACCACAAUUUUAUGAGGUAUUCUGCAGCAAAAUAAAAAAAAAAAUGACUCUGGAGUGGGUGUUUCAGUGACUCAUGGGAGCUGGUAGCUGUGAGCUCAGUUCACUUCACAAUAAUCAUCGCUAUCAUUCAGAGGAUUAUCAUUUCCUUCCCCUGGAUUAGAAGUAAGAUUCCACCACCCGCUCUAAGUGGGAGAGGAAUGAUCUGUUAAUGGGUUUAUUUAUGGCAACAGACAGACCCAAAGGUUUGUGUUAACAGUCCAAGUCUUAACUCGAGUGCAGGCAUUAUUUGAGUUAAGGUUAUUCCAUCCUGUCUCACUGACAAGGUGGCACAACUAAACAAAUCUGAUGUAAAUAUACAAUCUCCCCACAGCAGCCACACAUCCUGAAGCAGGAGGAGGAACAUCCUUAAGCAGAGCUGACCUCAUUGUGUUGAGUGUAAUCUAAUAACGUUACACAGUUCACACACUAUUAAGGAACUAUGUCAGCAUUACAGGAAUUUGAGGACAGAGCAUUUUAUUUUAAUUCAUUUAAAAGGUUAGUUCAGUUUGUUACUUAAGGGAUUUA